UUUCGACUGAACUGAUGGAUGCACUGAACUGAUAUACUGUUUCUGUUUCGACUGAACAGAUGCAAUUCUUCAAUGAAGUGAUGCACUGUUUCGAACAGGUGCACUAUUUGGUGAAAUGGUAUACUGCUUCAGCAAAAAUGCUGCAGACAUGCAUUUUCAGAAACAUCACACCAUUUAAAUGAACCAAUGCCACCUUUUCGAAGAG
rnacentral:lncRNA from 1 species